CCUGGCGGCGUGCCUAUACAUGCGAGUCGAGCGGACUUGAUGAGGAGCUUGCUCCUCUGAUGGUUAGCGGCGGACGGGUGAGUAACACGUAGGCAACCUGCCUGCAAGACCGGGAUAACUAGCGGAAACGUUAGCUAAUACCGGAUAAUUUAUCGCUUUGCAUGAAGCGGUAAUGAAAGACGGAGCAAUCUGUCACUUGGAGAUGGGCCUGCGGCGCAUUAGCUAGUUGGUGAGGUAACGGCUCACCAAGGCGACGAUGCGUAGCCGACCUGAGAGGGUGAACGGCCACACUGGGACUGAGACACGGGCCAGACUCCUACGGGAGGCAGCAGUAGGGAAUCUUCCGCAAUGGGCGAAAGCCUGACGGAGCAACGCCGCGUGAGUGAUGAAGGUUUUCGGAUCGUAAAGCUCUGUUGCCAGGGAAGAACGACCGUUAGAGUAACUGCUAACGGAGUGACGGUACCUGAGAAGAAAGCCCCGGCUAACUACGUGCCAGCAGCCGCGGUAAUACGUAGGGGGCAAGCGUUGUCCGGAAUUAUUGGGCGUAAAGCGCGCGCAGGCGGUCGCUUAAGUCUGGUGUUUAAGGCCAAGGCUCAACCUUGGUUCGCACUGGAAACUGGGUGACUUGAGUGCAGAAGAGGAGAGUGGAAUUCCACGUGUAGCGGUGAAAUGCGUAGAGAUGUGGAGGAACACCAGUGGCAAAGGCGACUCUCUGGGCUGUAACUGACGCUGAGGCGCGAAAGCGUGAGGGAGCAAACAGGAUUAGAUACCCUGGUAGUCCACGCCGUAAACGAUGAAUGCUAGGUGGUAAGGGGG
rnacentral:rRNA from 1 species